GCCCCGUUGGUGUAGUCCGGCCAAUCAUAUCGCCCUCUCGAGGCGAUGACUCGGGUUCAAAUCCCGAACGGGGCA
rnacentral:tRNA from 1 species